AAUGAGCUACGACAACGUGAGCUCAGCACAUAGGCCUAUUAGUUGGUGCCGAGAUGAUGCCUCAUGAAACGUCAAAGCCUCGCAGCCAGAUGAACCGUCAAAGUGGUUCGACCUCGAAGCUUCAAAUGAGUACGCUAGGGACACCUAUUGGUGAAUGAAAUGUUGAUGAAAGAGUUUCCUGUGAUGAUGUGAUGUUUGCUUCGUACAACAUCAAAACAUUUGAGAAAAGUAAUUUCAUUGAUAGGCCUACGUGUGAGUGUGCCGUUCAUAAAUAUCUCCCGAGCUCAUGGUGUCCUUGGGUGUCUUGAAAGGCGCCUCUAAAUUAAAUGUAUUAUUAUUAUUAUUAUGGUAGAAAACAAAUAAUUUUACAAAGAUUUUAAGUCAUCCCGGGCAAAAUAGAAUGUCUUAUCUACUACAGUAGCCUACUAAUAAUUGUAAUAAUAGAACUGCAUGAUGACUGAGAAUGAGUGUCAUUAAUUAGGCUACAUAGCCAUUCAAGUGAUCUUGGAACUGGGUAGUGUAGUGCCUUCUUUCUGCCAAUUGUGAACCCAUAUCGCGGCACAGCCCGAGAUGAAGCCCCGAACGUCACACGCUACGUCAUUUCUGAGCUCCGCUUGGGGGAGGAGCCAAGGUACUCGACACACGCCCCGAUGCCUCGACGCAAACCAUAACAUCACUACACAUAGUAAGUUUCACCGACGGCUGCUUCCUCAACUUUGUCCAAUACAAAGCUGGACUUGCGGAACGUCUGGAAUUGGAGUCCGGUUCAGUACCAACUCUCCUCGGCUCAGCUACAAAUCUGGGACAAAGCCAGCCCAUCAAUUGGUAACAUUCAGGUGUUUCUCUCAAGGGAUGUUGCCUGCCAUACAGACCACCUGGGAACACAUACUGUAGCCACACGGCUAUCCUUAAAGACUUUCCGGCCCCAAUUCACAAGUAAAGGAAAGCAUCAUGACCAGCGCCCUGCAAAGAGACAAACUUGGGAGUUGUCUGCAGUACACAUUUUAAACCCUCGGUCUCAAUGGUAUACACAUACAUUUAAAUAGUUUCAAAUACAAAUACACAGUUCCUCCUUUUAUGCUAACAGUGUACUGAAACAAUUACUUUCCGUCAUUUUUUUCUCCCUCUGCAGAAGACUGUGGUGCCUUUGGAGACCGUAGCACGCAGCGCGGCGCCACCUCGGAGAGUCUGGGUGUGGACGCCCCUGGCUCCUCCCACAUGUCCAGUCACGGCGGGGAGCUGAAGAUCCUGAGCGUCUAUGGUAAAGGGGAGGGCCCACUGGCGUUGGACGGCCAUGACACCCUCUUCACCGCGUCGGAAGUGGAGGCCCUGAACUCGCUGUCUGCGGACCACAGCGCGGCCAAGAGCCUGGAGCGCGGCGAGCGGCUGGUCUGCCGCGAGGAGCUGAGUGUGCAGGUUGGAAAUCAUCUUCUUAUUCAGCAUCCAAAUGAGAGGCUGCCUCUGUUACAACUCCAGCACACACCCCUAGAAAGCACACUCCUUUAUCAUUCAGAAAAUGCUGCCAAAUAUGCCCUUCUUAUGCCCACCUUUUUCCUUGCAUGAUCCGCGCGUUUACACUGACCGUGGUAAUUUACCGGCUUGAUUUCGCACCCCAAUUUACCUUCUCAGACCCUACACAUAUUGGCACUUUUCAUUUAGAUGUAAAUGUGAUCAGACAGCUUUGCGGUUCCAGGGAAGGGACUUGGGUAGAGGUGUUGCUGCAUUGUCUCUACAACAGGGACAACGCAGUGAUUUCAACAUGAGUAGUUAUAACUGGAGGGAUACUGAUAUCUGCAAGCUGCUGACCGUCAUGGGAUGGAAGGUGAUGCAGUCGCAUUUAACGAAGACGGUGAGAGAGUGCGAUCUACGAGAAAAUACCAGAAGAACUUUCCUUACGAUGCUUGGUCAGCAAAGUGGUCAGCCAAACAAAGAAUAUGUUGUUGAUUUUGCGCUUGUAAAUAGUGAAUCGCGUUUUAGUCUACACUCAGAUGUCAACUUAUUCUUGCAUGCUAGAAUGAGUGAAUCGAAAGAAAAAAGACAUUCGGAGUAUGCAAUUUAUCGAUAAGACGUGUACUCUCCGUGCAUAGCCCCGCCAUCUCCAGUGAACCAAGAAAGCUGGCUCCGUUACGAAGGGGGAUUUUACCCCCUCUGUUGUACACAGGCAAGACAAUGAAUUUGCAGGGCGUGCAAAGCCGCGAACGAACCGGCUUGGCAGUGUAAAAAUGCAUAAUGUGUCCUUAGUGGGGAUUGACAACUAUUCUGUGCAAAUGAAAGAAUAUGUCUUGAGUGUGUUUCCUUCUUUAUGUGGAAAGACGCAGACCCCGGACACCAUUUCAAUCAAGGUUGAAGAGGAUAUUGGUGGAGGCAUGCCCGCUGUAGGUUAGUAAUACACAUUGCAUCCAUGGAAACAAACAACCUGGAUCAACUGAGAAUGUACUAGAUUCUAACUGCGCUGAAAAGCCUGGUCCUCUUUGGAAAAGAAUCAUGAUCAGCGCCCUGUUAAACAUGAGUCAAAUUUGGGAGUAGCAUUUCAAAGAUGGAAUCAGUCAAGAGCCCAGAAGGGUUUCAAGACAGAUUCCCCAUAAGCUGGUUUAUCAUUCUCAAACAUCAAUGAAUUCAAAAUGUAUAAAUGUUAGCUGAUCAGCUUACAGGGAAGGACACGUUGUCGCUUGUUAUUGUCAAAAUAGAAUAAUUGCGCUUCUCUCGCAUGUCAUGUUGUGCUCGGAUCAUUUUGCGCUGGUGUUCGUUCAGUGUCCUCCACCUGGCCUCCGCUUGAGCUUUGAGUCUAGGGGGGAGGGUGCUGGAGGAGACAUCCCUCUCCAAAACUCUGAAUCUUUGUCUGCAGUACACAUUUUAAACCCUCUAUGUCAAUGAAAUAGUUUAUUUCAUGUGUACAAAUAAACACUUCCUCCUUCUAUGCAAACACUGUCAAAACAAUGACUGUCUUUUUUAUUUUUCCCU